CUGGUCCACCCUCAGCAUGGACUGGGAUCCAGCCAGCAACUCCCAAACACUGGCCAUGACAGACAUGGGCUUGGAGAAAGGAUCUUCACACCACUCUGGAGAUCAGACAGGGACACGUUAAAAACUGAAGACAGCUCUCCAGAAGCUUAUGCAAAGCUGUGGAGAAACCAAAUCCUUUAUUCUUAAAACCCUUCCAAGGCCCUCUUCAGCCCAUGAGAUCAGCCUCAGACACAAGUGUCUUGGACGUCUGGAUCUGUCUUGGAAUAUCCUAUUCCAGCUGGGAGAACACGCUUAAACAUGAUCAACUUUCAUGAUGUGUUUGAUGAAAGACAGACAUAGAUGUCAUUGCUUCCACUUGCUUCAACAGAUCAAUCCAGGAU